CGGGGUGUAGCUCAGCCCGGUUAGAGUGCACGGUUCGGGACCGUGAAGUCGGCGGUUCAAAUCCGCCCACCCCGACCA
rnacentral:tRNA from 1 species